CCAUGCAUAGUCGGGUGGUAGGGUGGUCCCAUGCAUAGUCGGGUGGUAGGGUGGUCCCAUGCAUAGUCUGGUGGUAGGGUGGUUUCAUGCAUAGUCGGGUGGUAGGGUGGUCCCAUGCAUAGUCGGGUGGUAGGGUGGUUCCAUGCAUAGUCGGGUGGUAGGGUGGUUCCAUGCAUAAUCGGGUGUUAGGGUGGUCCCAUGCAUAGUCGGCUUGUAGGGUGGUCACAUGCAUAGUCGGGUGGUCCCAUGCAUAGUGGUCCUAUGCAUAGUUGGGUGGUAGGGUGGUCCCAUGCAUAGUCGGGUGGGUGGGUGGUCCCAUGCAUAGUCGGGCGAUAGUGUGGUCCCAUGGAUAGUCCGGGUGGUAGGGUGGUCCCAUGCAUAGUCAGGUGGUUCCUUCCAGCAACUCCGUAUUGCGGAGAAUUGAGGAGUGUGACGGGCGACUAACUACCACAGUUCCCAUAACGGGUGAGUCAUCAUCAUCGUCUUUCAGACCUUUUUAGCAGAUCUCUCUCUCUCCGUCCUUGUCUCUCUCUCUCUCUCUCUCUCCCCCUCCUUCUCUCUCUCUCUCUCUCUCUCUCCUUGUCUCUCUCUCCUAUUCUCUCUCUCUCUC
ensembl:lncRNA